rnacentral:rRNA from 1 species
UACGGAGGGUGCAAGCGUUGUUCGGAAUCACUGGGCGUAAAGCGCGUGUAGGCGGCCUUCUCAGUCUGGUGUGAAAGCCCGGGGCUCACCCCCGGAAGUGCAUUGGAUACUGGAAGGCUGGAGUACCGGAGAGGAGGGUGGAAUUCCUGGUGUAGCGGUGAAAUGCGCAGAUAUCGGGAAGAACACCUAUGGGGAAGGCAGCUCUCUGGGACGGUACUGACGCUGAGACGCGAAAGCGUGGGGAGCGAACAGG